GUAAAUUGGACUUUGUGCAAAGAGACUUUAAAAGAAAACGAACGUAAGGCUGGUUCGGGAAGAGGAUUGGCCAACAUAAAUCUGUAACAUUAACAACGGUUCCACAACAUGCUUUCUUGAGCCCACCGAAACUGAAAUGAAAAUGAAAAAUAUUGUGUAGAUAUUGGCGGCAUCCUUCUGUAAUGUUCCUAAAUGUGUUUUUACACCCUUCAGGAUCUGUCGGCUGAGCAUUCGGAUAUGUCAAAGUCAUUGCGAAAACAAGAACCAUAAUCAAAAAAGCAGUUCUCAUCAUCUUAGAUUCCUUUUGAUUAAGCAAAUUAGAAAUCAAAA
rnacentral:lncRNA from 1 species